CAAAGGGUAGUUUAAUUUAAGAUAGUAGUUUUGGGUAUUAUUGAUAGGUGUAUAUCUUCCUUUGA
rnacentral:tRNA from 1 species